rnacentral:rRNA from 1 species
CACGUAGGGGGCGAGCGUUGUCCGGAUUUAUUGGGCGUAAAGAGCUCGUAGGCGGCUCAGUAAGUCGGGUGUGAAACCCCCGGGCUCAACCCGGGGACGCCACCUGAUACUGCUGUGGCUUGAGUCCGGUAGGGGAGCGUGGAAUUCCUGGUGUAGCGGUGAAAUGCGCAGAUAUCAGGAGGAACACCCGUAGCGAAGGCGGCACUCUGGGCCGGAACUGACGCUGAGGAGCGAAAGCGUGGGGAGCGAACAGG